rnacentral:rRNA from 1 species
AUGAUGAGGAGCUUGCUCCUCUGAUUUAGCGGCGGACGGGUGAGUAACACGUGGGUAAUCUGCCUGUAAGACGGGGAUAACUCCGGGAAACCGGGGCUAAUACCGGAUAAUAAGAGAAGAAGCAUUUCUUCUUUUUGAAAGUUGGUUUCGGCUGACACUUACAGAUGAGCCCGCGGCGCAUUAGCUAGUUGGUGAGGUAACGGCUCACCAAGGCGACGAUGCGUAGCCGACCUGAGAGGGUGAUCGGCCACACUGGGACUGAGACACGGCCCAGACUCCUACGGGAGGCAGCAGUAGGGAAUCUUCGGCAAUGGGCGAAAGCCUGACCGAGCAACGCCGCGUGAGCGAU